CGCCGGAGCGUGGUGGUGGUAGGGAGCGUGCAGCACCGUCUGUCGGUGUUGUUAUGCACAGGAGAACUUGAGAGAGUCCCACUCCAGACACCACGAAUAGG
rnacentral:miRNA from 14 species